GAUGAACGCUGGCGGUAUGCUUAACACAUGCAAGUCGAACGGACUCUUCGGAGUUAGUGGCGGACGGGUGAGUAACGCGUGAGAAUCUGGCUUUGGGUUCGGGACAACCACUGGAAACGGUGGCUAAUACCGGAUGUGCCGAGAGGUAAAAGAGAAAUUGCCUGAUGAUGAGCUCGCGUCUGAUUAGCUAGUUGGUGAGGUAAAGGCUCAACAAGGCAGCGAUCAGUAGCUGGUCCGAGAGGAUGACCAGCCACACGGGGACUGAGACACGGCCCAGACUCCUAGGGGAGGCAGCGGUGGAGAAUGUACCACAAGGGGCGAAAGGCUGACGGAGCAAUACCGCGUGGGGGAAGAAGGCUGUUGGGUUGUAAACCUCUUUUCUUAGGGAAGAACAAAAUGACGGUACCUAAGGAAUCAGCAUCGGCUAACUCCGUG
rnacentral:rRNA from 1 species